GGGGUUCUAUUCAUCGAGAUCAUCUUUAUCAAGCAGAGCAGCAAACACGACCGAAGGCUGUAUCUGCAGGAAGCCCUCCCCAAUGCCUUUGAGCACAUGUUUGGGCAGGUGGGGAGCCCCCACCGGUGGAAUAAUAGCAAGGGGGGUGGGUGUUGACACUUGCUAACACCACUUGAAUACUAGGUUGUCAUCCCUAGCGUGGCACUAGAGUGUACUAUGGUAUUUAUACGCACACAGAUAAUCCGCAAGCGCACGGAUACCGUUGAAGCUUUUACCCGGUUAAAGGUUUUAUCGUAUCCACAGGGAAACGGGAGAACCAACUACGCUCUAACUUAAUCCUAGAUAGAUAAGUAAAUGUAAAUAGGAAAGAUGGUAGAAUCGAAUAAGAACAAUAUUAAAGGUAAGAUAACAGUGAGUG
rnacentral:lncRNA from 1 species